rnacentral:rRNA from 1 species
UCUUGAAGAUAAAUGGUACGCCAGAACUGGAUGGACCCGCGGAGGAUGAGGGAGUUGGUAGGGGAACGGCGUACAAAGGGGACGAGCAGUAGCCGACCGGAUAGGGUGAUCGGCCACAAUGGAACGGAGACACGGUCCAAACUCCUACGGGAGGCAGCAGGGGGGAAGGGUGCACAAGGGGCGAAAGACUGAGGCAGCAACGCCGGGUGAGGGAUGAAGGCCUUCGGGUCGUAAAACUCGGUCCUCAAGGAAGAUAAUGACGGUACUUGAGGAGGAAGCCCCGGCUAA